GUUGCAUUGUUCUCUUGAUUUCUUUUUCUGGACUGUCCAUUGUGAGUAUAUGGAAAUACCAUUGAUUUUUGUAUAUUGACCUUGUAUCCUGCCACUUUGCUAUUCUCAUUAAUUCUUGUUUAUUGUGGCAAAACACAUAGCAUGAGGCCCACCCUUUUAACCAGUGCCUCAGUCUUCAGUACAGUGUGGGUAACUGUCAGAGCAGCGCUGCUCAGUGUCUCUGGAAUGCUUUCUUCUUGUGCAAUUGAAACUAUAGCAACUGAACAGCGGCUCCACAUGUCCUCCUCCCCCGACCCACUCUCAUUCCCUCUUCCCACAAGUGCGACUGCCACACUCCUCACGCAAGUCAGUCACGCUGAAUCUCCUGCGUGGCCGAGUUUGUCUUCAAGGUUCAUUCAUGUUGUGGCCUGAGACCAGGCCACGUUGUGUGGCUGCUGAAUAACAGACCAUGGAGUGAGUUUGCUGCAUUUUCUCUACUCAUUGGUCUGUCAGUGGGCAUUUAGACAUUUCUACAUUUUGGCUACUAUGAGUACUGCUAACAUGAACAUGGGAAUACAAAUAUCUUCUUGAGAGUUGGACUUCAACGCUUCUGAAUAAAUGCCAUAAAGUGGGAUGGCUGCAUCAUCUGGUGGUUCUGUUUUGGGGGAGGGUAUUUUGAGACGGUUUCACUAUGUAGUUCAGGCUGGCCUGGAACUCACACUGAUCCUCCUGCCUCAGCCUCCUGAGUGCUGGAUUUACAGUGUUAAACUGACUUUGCACUCCUGGGAUACAACCCACUUGACCACUGCGAGCUGUCCUCUCAUGUGUUGCUGGAUUCUGUUUGCUAUUAAUGGUUGGAGGGUUUUGCUGCUGUAUUCAUGAGAGGGAUUAGAGGCCUCCGCCUCACACCACCCGAGCCCUCUGGUCGAGGCCGCCUGCAUGCUGAGGUGAGAUCACCACCACUCCAGGAAGUGCACCCCCAGUCCCUGGUGCCUGUCCCUGUCCUCCUGCAAUGAAGGUGAUGGAAUGUCAGCAGAAGGCUUUAAAGCAGAGCUUCAUAGCUGGAAGAGGGAGCCACAGGCAGGCGACAUCCGAGGCCCCACUUGCAUGGCCACCUGAGCCCAGAGGCUGUGCACGAAGCCAGGACCGAGGCUCUGGGAGCCGAGCUUCGAGUGGCCUCUUGCUCCCCGCAGCAGGGAAGUGGGGCACCGGCCAGACUGCAAGGCGCUGGUUCUGCCACCACCAGAAGCAGCACAUCCUUCCCGGAGCCUCCCACUGGGGUCCAGCCACUGAUGCUGUGAUUUCACCUCGGGAACCCUGGGUCAAAGCGUCCAGUUGAGCCAAGCUGGAUUUCUGAAUGACAGAGAGUGAGAUGAUACAUUUGUGUUGUCUUUGUAUUUGUAAUCACUUGUAGGGUUGGGGUUAGGACAGUGCAGAGCACAAACCUGGCACUCAUGAGACCCUGGGUCCAAUCCCUAGUGCCAGGGAAAAAAAAUCUUUAUAUUUGUAAUAACUUGUUAAGGCAACAAAAGAAAACCAACACAAUACCUAAACUAUAAAUCUGAUGUCAGAUUCCACUUCAAACCUUCUCAUGACUUUUUUGGUUUUGGUUUUGGUUUUUUAA